rnacentral:rRNA from 1 species
AUGGCGACCGGCGCACGGGUGAGUAACGCGUAUGCAACCUGCCCGAUACCGGGGUAUAGCCCAUGGAAACGUGGAUUAACACCCCAUAGUACUUUUAUCCUGCAUGGGAUGUGAGUUAAAUGUUUAAGGUAUCGGAUGGGCAUGCGUCCUAUUAGUUAGUUGGCGGGGUAACAGCCCACCAAGACGAUGAUAGGUAGGGGUUCUGAGAGGAAGGUCCCCCACAUUGGAACUGAGACACGGUCCAA